AGAAUCAACGCUGGCGGCGUGCCUAACACAUGCAAGUCGAACGAGAAAGUGGAGCAAUCCAUGAGUAAAGUGGCGCACGGGUGAGUAACACGUGACUAACCUACCCUUGAGUGGGGAAUAACUUCGGGAAACCGAGGCUAAUACCGCAUAACACCUACGGGUCAAAGGAGCAAUUCGCUUAAGGAGGGGGUCGCGGCAGAUUAGUUAGUUGGCGGGGUAAUGGCCCACCAAGACGGUGAUCUGUAUCCGGCCUGAGAGGGCGCACGGACACACUGGAACUGAAACACGGUCCAGACUCCUACGGGAGGCAGCAGUGGGAAUUUGCGCAAUGGGGGAAACCCUGACGCAGCAACGCCGCGUGGAGGAUGAAGUCCCUUGGGACGUAAACUCCUUUCGAUCGGGACGAUUAUGACGGUACCGGAAGAAGAAGCACCGGCUAACUCUGCGCCAGCAGCCGC
rnacentral:rRNA from 1 species